ACUAAUUAAAAAAACAAAGGGCGGGGAAUCCUGCCCUCCCGAUUGUUGCUACGGCGCGGACAGACUAUACGGCGGCUGGUCGUUCCCCAGCGGCCGCGAAUACCGAAACAGGCUGAGCAACAAUCUUCGAGGGUAGCGCUGCUACCCUUUUUUUUCCAGGA
rnacentral:sRNA from 1 species